GGAUGUGAGGGCGAUCUGGCUGCGACAUCUGUCACCCCAUUGAUCGCCAGGGUUGAUUCGGCUGAUCUGGCUGGCUAGGCGGGUGUCCCCUUCCUCCCUCACCGCUCCAUGUGCGUCCCUCCCGAAGCUGCGCACUCGGCCGAAGAGGACGACCUUCCCCGAUAGAGGAGGACCGUUCUUCGGUCAAGGGUAUACGAGUAGCUGCGCUCCCCUGCUAGAACCUCCAAACAAGCUCUCAAGGUCCAUUUGUAGGAGAACGUAGGGUAGUCAAGCUUCCAAGACUCCAGACACAUCCAAAGGAGGCGCUGCACGUGGCAGUCUGCCUUUCUUA
rnacentral:snRNA from 1 species